AUGACCACACCAAACAAGGCACCUCCUGGUACUGACCCUGAGCAGUUGGAAAAGACUGGAACAGUACGGGAAAUUGGGUCACAAGCUGUUUGGUCACUCUCAUCUUGCAAACCAGGAUUUGGAGUGGAUCAGUUACGAGAUGACAAUCUAGAAACUUAUUGGCAAUCAGAUGGCUCCCAGCCUCAUUUAGUGAACAUCCAAUUCAGAAGAAAAACAACAGUUAAGACAUUAUAUAUUUAUGCAGACUACAAAUCUGAUGAAAGCUAUACUCCAAGCAAGAUUUCAGCCAAAGUAGGAAAUAAUUUUCACAACCUUCAAGAAAUUCGGCAACUUGAAUUGGUGGAACCAAGUGGCUGGAUUCAUAUUCCCUUAACUGAUAAUCAUAGGAAGCCAACUUGGACGUUAAUGAUACAGAUUGCUGUUCUAGCCAGUCAUCAAAAUGGAAAAGACACCCACCCAUAUGAGACAAAUUAAAAUAUACACACUGGUAGAAGAGAGCGCCAUUGGUAAAUUUCCUAGAUGUACAACUAUAGAUUUCAUGAUGUAUUGUUCAAUA
rnacentral:lncRNA from 1 species